UUUUGACGAACUUUCAUAGUCUGGGAGAUAACGUAACAUCCAAAUCACAGCCAAUACCCGUGAUACACAAAAAAAAACAACAGUCUGAUAGCGUUUUUACGCACUUUGCACAGUACAAGAAGUACACGAGCUCGAUCUUCUCAAUCUCAAACUUCACUUCGUCCUUUUUUCCCAGGGAACUCGGCUCGCCCAAAGAAGCGCUUACUACUCUUCCAAGCAGGCCAUAAAUCUGCUGCCAAAGUCAAAAAGUACAGGUUCAACCCAUACGCAAUUGCCCAUUCCAAGAUGGCGGCUUUGGAGGAAACGUCGUCGCAUUGGAAACUGGUAUGCCCAUUGGUCGCAGUAGCUUUUCCAUGGCACUGUGCAAACUCAUUUAGCGUGUAUCAGAAAGGGAAUGAAAAUAAUUUUGGUACUGUACUUACAUACAUGUAGGUUGCACCAAAGGCCGUGGCGAGGAUGACAUCUCCAGCAACGAUGGCUAGCUUGAAGACACGUACCACUUCGAGCGUUUGAAAAAUGGCCGAUAAGGCUACACCGAUGAUGAAGACAAGCGUACCGUCCCAGUGGACUGUGGGAUAGUCGUAGCAGUUCCACUGCACGCCAAGUUACGAAGAGUCCAGCGCAACCCACAAAGCAGAAGAAUAUGGUGAGGUAGCCUACACUUAUCUAUUUUCUCUUUCCUCCCUAUAUUUUCCGGCAAUCUUCCUUUCCAUCUCAACCACCGAAUCACACAUACCGAUGAAAAGUACAGUCUAGUUCCAUAUCAGCUGUCAAUACUUUCGUUAAGCGGCUUAAACACCCACAUGAUGACUACCACACAUAUCCCCAAGAACAGUCCUUCAUUCGCGCCACCUAUAUCACUUAUGAACGCUAUACUCGCCACUGCUGGGUCAUACCGAGGUUUCCCGGCGUCGACCCAUAACAUCAUAAGCGCCGUGAGACCACCGAACCAGACAGUGGUGGCUAGAAUGGGGAGGAGGAUGUAUGGCGCGUGGCCUAUGGAGCGUGUCAGUGUUUGGCUAGGAAGAGCAGGGGAACCAGGGAACGGUGAAGGAAAUGAGAACGGACGUAAGCGGACGAAAAAGGUUGGGCGAAGUUUCUCCUCCUGGAGAGGUUGCUGUUCCUUGUCCAUGUUUGAUCAACUUGACAAAGCUUUUUCCUGAUUUUCUAUCUGUCUGUCCAGGUGUAGGAAGGCAUUCUCGCACCGAAACUCAUAUGCUCAGAAUAUAACAAACAAACAAACACGCACACCUAUAUCCUGAUCUUUGCUGCUAUUUCCCGUCUCACACCCAUGUAAUACUGAUAUGGGCCAAUCCCUUGAUAAUCCAUAAACACGACUGUUCAAGAUCCAUCCUCCUUUGGGCGUUAGCGCCUAAUCCCGGGGAGCAGCCCAUCCUUUCACACCGACUCUCCUGUUCUUUGAACCUUUUAUCACACUGGGAAUGCUCACUACGGAGGCUGUCAGUGGUUGUUAUUUGCUAUGAAAUCCAUGAUAUGGCAUGAUAGCUUAAACCGCAACAUAGUGAUAUGAUCGAUGAUGGUGGGAAACAAAGUCGGAAUGAGUGGAGAGGGUCAUGUUCGGAUAGCCUGAUUAUAGGCCAGUUUAUUCUGCGACAUCAACCUUUUUCAAAAAUC
rnacentral:sRNA from 1 species